GGGGGGGCAGUGAGCUUCAUCACCAAGAGACAUUGGAUAAAGCUGAAAAGAAAAGGAAAUUAGUUUCUAGUAUAAUGCAAGGAUGGCAUUAACUUCUAGUUUCAGAGUAAAUCAUUGUUCAGAGUAGGAAAACACAACGUUUGACCUAUAUUUGUUUGCGAAGACAUAGACCUUCAUAUGAAAGUUGCACACACAAUUACACUAGAUGAAGAUAUGUUCACAAAUAAACUUACUAGAUCCAUCAGCGUUGGCGGGUUUGCAAAAAAUCAAUAACAACAGCAACAACAAAGGUCUAGCUAGUUGAGGUCGGCAUAUGAAUCCUCAUCAUCCAUUUCGCUCUAUUUGGGCCAGGUCUGCGAAACUUCAAUUCAGCAGCUGGAAAAAAACCUUUGUCACGAUGUUUCCCAUAACCGAGCACUUGAU
rnacentral:lncRNA from 1 species